CAUAAAAUAAUAAAUAAAUCUUAAAAAAAAAUACAACUGCAAGUGAGAGGAAACUUAAAAUCUAUUAUAUGAAUUGUUUCAUAAAAGAAUAUUUUCAUAGAUAUCAUACAAGUUAAUACAUAUGAUAUCCUGAUUACUCUAACUUAUUUUUCUCUUGUCCCCUAUUUUUGUCUAGAUUAAUUUCAAUUUUUUUUCCUCCCUCUUUGGUUUUGAGAUCAGGUUUUUCUAUUGGCUGUUCUGGAAUUAAUUUUUAGACCAGGCUGGCCUCAAACUCAUCUGCCUCCCAAGUGCUGGUAUUAAAGGUGUCCACCACUAUACCUGGUCCUAAUCUCAGUCUUUUAAAUAUCAUCCUAGGGUAUUUGCCCCAGUGGAGAUUUGUAGAUUGUUCUAUUUUUAGUCAUGGAGGUGGCAUAGCAUAGUAAAUAGCCAUGACUAUAGAGCAUUCCACUUCGGCCUAAAUCCCAAAAGACCACGUGAUAGCUGUGUGACCUUGGUUAAGUCACUUCUUGAUGCAUUAGUUUCAUCCUCCCUAAGACUAUCAGAUGGGUAGUAUCUAUUUCAUAGGGUUGUUGAGGGAUUGGUAAGAUAAAAUAGGCAAAGUCAUUUAGAAGUUCUUUGUUCCACUGUUUCAGAGAUGUGCAUGGUGUGACUUCAAAUAUUAACACUUUGCCCUCAUUCAUACAUGCACUUUGGUGUUGGUCAUUGUCUUUCUCAUUGUUAACAUUAUUCCAUUAUAUUUACAUAUAUUGUGCUGGAUAAAAAGUCUCCCAAAACUGUGAUCCUUUCUUUAAAGCUAAGAAUUUUGGGAGGAUUACUCUUUAUAUUUGAUGUUCUGUGCUUUCAGUAUUAUUUGUAUAUCAUAUUCUAGUGCUUAUUUGCAUAUUUAAAAUGCAUUUGUUGUACCCCCCGUCCCCCCCUCCCCCCACAUCUACGUGUGUUAGAAAUGGUGAGUUCCUCAUGUGGUAGUUUGAAUAAUCCCCAUAGGCUCAUAUAUAUUUGUUUGCUUAGUACCUCCCCGCCCCAUUGAAUUGCUUGGAAGGAUUAGGAGGUGUGUCAUUGUUGAAGGAAGUGGUCACUGGUGUGGAUUGAAGGUUUCAAAGGCUCAUGUUAGGCCAGGCCAAGUGUUUUUCUUUCUGUCUGCUGCCUGCAAAUCAGGGCAUAAAAGCUCUCAGCUACUUGCUCCAGUGCCAUGCCUGUUUGAUUUCAACCAUGAUAAUGAACUAACCCUCCCAAACUGUAAGCAAUCCUCCAACUAAAUGCUUUCUUUUAUAAGAGUCACCUCGGUCAUGGUAUCUCAGUUGCGAGUGCUUCUUUGAUUAUGAGAUUGGCAAUCAUCGGUAUAAUGUUUCAGGACUAUAGCUAGCUUUGGAAUGGGUUGAUACACAGGUGGAAUCUGAGGAUGAUUUGACUAGUGGGUACUGUAUAUGUAGUCAGCUUUACCCCGACUCUAGAGCUGUUAAGACGAUGAGGUAAUUUGUGUGUUUUGACAGUAUCAUCUGAGUAUAUACUGAUGCAGAAACAAACACAUUUCCUAUUUUUGGAACAUGGUUAUUUCUUUUAUGAUUGUUUAUAUUUGGUUGUUUAUUUUCUACUGAAUUUUGGCAGCAACACAGUUCACCAUCUGCAUUAAUCCACCAUGACACAAGAGUCAGAAAUCACAACACGCAAAAAUGGUACUUACUCUCUAUAGAUUAUUAAAAUCCCUUAGAUCGGUUAGAGGAACAAAGAUACAGCUAUAGUGCGCACCAGAGGAAAAUUUCAUCUGCUUCAGCUUGCACACAAUGCAAAUGCUCCCACCUCAAUCUAUGUAUAUACAAAACUGCAUGUGUAUAUCAUGGCACAUGAAACAUGGCAAGUCAGAAGAAUCAUAGGAGCAAUCUUCACCAAAUUAUUUAAAAAGUAAAUCGAGCUAGUGUGAGGAAAGAUGCAGCUAAAACAAUGGCAGAUAUUUCAUCUCGUAAGUACUCUUGGUGUGAAUGGGCGUGUGUGUGUGUGCAGCUGUACUGGCAAUGCUUUUCAUUUCCACACUCUCAGCUGUGUAUAGAGGAGUCUAAGUUUUAGAAUAAGAAAGAGGACUUAAAAUUUAUAGAAAAAAAUUUUAAAAUAAAAUUUAAGUGCAGGAGUAGUAAUGAUAGGAUUACAACGACCAUUUAUUGAUCAAUGUAUUCAAUCUCAUGCUGAAUAAUUUUAUGAAAUCUAUAGAGGGUAAGUAACUUACCCACGGCCACAUAACUUUCAUGAAGUGUAAGUCAACAUGCCUACCAGUGGGUUUGAUUCCAGGGAUGCAAUUAAUGAUCAUGUAAGCUGGGCCUCUCCUUUGAGUUCUUGUUUUUAAGUUGUUUUGUUUAUAAAUAAAGACAGUGUUUUAUAAUCUACCACUUAUUGGGCCACUUAAGAUUUUGAUGCAUUCUUUAAUCCUUUUCUGCCUUUCCCUGUUUAUGUAAACUCUGUGUUCUACAGCUACUGAUAACAACAACAACAAGAAGACAACAAACAACUGUGAUGAUGGAUGAGUCCCGUGCCAAGUGUCUAAAAGACAGAGGGAAUUUGCCCACACAUUCUCAGGAUUACAGUCUUAAACACCAAGGUUGCUAUGACUGCAAAUGAUAGAAUUGAUGAUUGUGUUCAGUGUCCAAAAGGAUUACUCACAACAAGCAUCUGGACAAGAGAAAGCACUUCAGCAAUUCCGAUUCAAUUCUGUUCUUAUAAACCUUACAUAUGCCUUCCUGGCACACAUAAAUUAAAAACAUCUAAAAGUUUAUCAAUAUUACUUUAGUAAGUGCUUUCAGGAAAUAGACAAAAACCUCUGCAGUUCAAAAUCAUGAUGCCAUUCCUUGGUUUUUAUGACACGUUGCUAAGUUUACAGCUCUGUCCAACUCAGAACACUGAGGGUGUUAUAUGUCCCUGGAUCUUCAUCUUAUGAGACUCUAAGGCCCCACAAAAAGUGCUUUUAAAAUUUGUUAUGCUUCUCUCUUGUUGAUCUUCAUGUUAAUUCCAUUCUUAGGCCCAACAAAAGACCCCAACAGGGUAAGAUAAAGUUCUUCAGUCUUUUAUUUUCUUACUUGAAAACUGAGAAUGUCAAUUGUAUCACUGCAUGACUACACUCUAUAGCAGUGGUUCUCAGCCUCCCAAAUGCUGUGAUCCUUUAACACAGGUCCUCAUGUUGUGGUGGCCUCCAAUCAUAAAUAUUUGGUAUUGAGGAUAUCUGAUAUGUGACCCUUGUGAAAGAGUCACUUGACCUCCAACCUCAAGGGAUCAUGAGCCACAUGUUGAGAACCACUGCUAUAUACAGUUAAUUUAAGAAUAAAAUGAGUUUAUAUUUGGAAAGUUUUAUUAAGUAUGCUUGAAAUAAAUGUUGUGUUUUAGUCACUAUCUCAUCUUCAUUUUACCCUUUUCAGAAAAGAGCUCUAGAGAGAAUGGACCUCCCAGUGUCUUCUCUACCUGGCUCUUCUCUCAAAGUUUCAAGGUUUUUGUUUUGUUUUAAGUUCACAAUGCUUCCUUGCCUUGGUAUAAUUCUACUUUUUUGCUGUCCAUUCAUGAUUAAAAAUAGGAUAAAGACCAGAAUAAUUUUCCAAAAUAACUACUGUGAUAGUUAUCAUUUGGCUACAAAUCUAGGCUGUAACAGUCUUCAUUUUUAAAAAAGAUUCCUCUAUUCCUCUAUGUGUGUGCCGAUGUGAGUUUAUGUGAGCCAGCAGGCCAGAAGAUGGUGUCAGGUCUUCUGAAGGUGGAUGCUACAAGUGUUUGUGAACUGCCAGGUGAGUGCUAGGAGACAAACUCAUGUCUUCUACAAGAGAAACAAGUGCUCCUUAGCCACUGCACCAUCUCUCCAGCUAUUAGUAGUCUGUUUCUCCAUCCCUCCCUUCAUUCCUCCCUC